AUGGUCCCCGCCGCCGGCGCGCUGCUCUGGGCCCUGCUGCUGAGUCUGGGGCCCCGGGCGGCGGGGGCCGAAGGCCUGACUUCGACCGCGAUGCCGCGGGACAGUUUCCGCUUCGGGGGCCCUAUGACCCGCAGCUACAGAACCACCGCCCGGACCACUCCGGGCGUUGUAUUAUCCCCGAGGAUGAGGGUGACAAUGGAGGAUGAGGACGACGUCCUGGCCGCUGCCGACCGCCUGGCAGGCCCGGCCGCUGCGGAGCUCUUAGCCUCUACGGUGGCCACAGGCAGCAGGUCACGAUUGUCUCAGGAGGAAGAUGGGUCUUUGGAAGAAGGGGUUGUGAUUUACGCCAGAAAGAAUGACACCGAGUCGGAGACUGACAGUACGACUCGCAUUACGCCUGGGAGGCCUAGCCCAUACUUUACAGCGAAUGACCAGGAUUCCGACAUCAAGAUGAGUUCAAGCCUACCUCACUCCAGCUGGAAGGCUAAUGUGGACUCACAGCCCUCUGACAGUACCACAAACCCGUGGUCCUCAGCAGGGUCCACGCUGAACCAGUGGCCGCCUCCCUCGCCCACGGCCAUGCCAGCUCCGGAGGAUCUGCGGCUGGUGUUGUUGCCCUGGGGCCCGUGGCACUGCCACUGCAAGUCGGGCACUAUGAGCCGGACCCGGGCCGGGAGACUGCAUGGCCUUUCGGGGCGCCUGCGAGUUGGGGCGCUGAGUCAAGUGCGCACCGAGCACCGGCCUUGCACCUACCACCUAUGCCCCUGCAACCGCGAGCGGGAGGAGUGCCCCCUAGAUGCAGGUCUCUGUGCUGACACCAGCUGCACCACUCAGACCACCACCAGGGCCACCACCAGGGCCACCACCACCACUCCCUUCCCCCCUCUAACCAGCAGACUCAGACCCGCCCCUUUUAUCCCCAGUCCCAUUCCCAGCCCCCACCCAGCCUAUGCUUUUUGGAAACGGGUCAGGAUUGGGCUGGAGGAUAUUUGGAACAACCUCUCUACAAUGUUCACAGAGAUGGAACCAGUAAGUGUUUAGUGAUGAGCCAGGAUUUUUGUUAAUGAAUCUGAAAAGUCCUGAUAUACAGAAACCUGUUGCUAAACCAGCCAGCAUGUCUGCAUGAACUGUUAACUUGUUUGGUUAUUGAUUCAUAAUAUGCAUUGGUUAUUCACAUUAUUGUUAGCCAUUGAUUCUGUAUACCAUUUCUUGAGCAACUGCUGUUUGGCUAUUAGGCAACAUGUACUGAUGGUCACUAGAUGAUUAUUGACCAAAUUGUUAAGAUGGUAGUUAUAUAAAGAAUUCUUGAUGUGGAGAUGAUUAAUGCAUGUGGAAGAUAUUCAUGGUUUUCAGUUUAUUAAUGCAGCUUAACAGUAACAGCCACCAAUAUCUGAGGUCUUCCUCUGUGCACUUUGCCUGGAUCAAUCCUCACAACAACCGUAUAUUAUUAUUCACACCUUACAGAUGAAGAAACAGGGCUUUCAAAGCUAAUAAAGAGAAAUCAGAGGUAAUGGCCACUUCAACCACAAGAGGAGGUGUCAGCAUCUCAACCUCUCCUCCCCCUCGAAUCCCAGUUCCCACCGGAUAUAUUUUUAGUACAGAAAAACAAAACUAGAA